CUGACAGUGACCCAAUAGAGGGGAGCUCUAUACAACCAGAAAAACACCCAGAAAACAUCUUAUUAUCACAAUAUAAAAUCCCAUCACAAUACACACGAGAUCCUCACCCCUACCUGCUCAGUGAUGGAGGAGCCUGAGUACACAGUGUCUGUUAGUGAUUCCACCUCGGUGAGGGAGGAGCCUGAGUACACAGUGUCUGUUAGUGAUUCCACCUCAGUGAGGGAGGAGCCUGAGUACACAGUGUCUGUUAGUGAUUCCACCUCAGUGAUGGAGGAGCCUGAGUACACAGUGUCUGUUAGUGAUUCCACCUCGGUGAGGGAGGAGCCUGAGUACACAGUGACUGUUAGUGAUUCCACCUCGGUGAGGGAGGAGCCUGAGUACACAGUGACUGUUAGUGAUUCCACCUCGGUGAGGGAGGAGCCUGAGUACACAGUG
ensembl:lncRNA